GCUACACAUGCAGUCGAGCGGUAGAGAGAAAGCUUGCUUCUCUUGAGAGCGGCGGACGGGUGAGUAAUGCCUAGGAAUCUGCCUGGUAGUGGGGGAUAACGUUCGGAAACGGACGCUAAUACCGCAUACGUCCUACGGGAGAAAGCAGGGGACCUUCGGGCCUUGCGCUAUCAGAUGAGCCUAGGUCGGAUUAGCUAGUUGGUGAGGUAAUGGCUCACCAAGGCGACGAUCCGUAACUGGUCUGAGAGGAUGAUCAGUCACACUGGAACUGAGACACGGUCCAGACUCCUACGGGAGGCAGCAGUGGGGAAUAUUGGACAAUGGGCGAAAGCCUGAUCCAGCCAUGCCGCGUGUGUGAAGAAGGUCUUCGGAUUGUAAAGCACUUUAAGUUGGGAGGAAGGGUUGUAGAUUAAUACUCUGCAAUUUUGACGUUACCGACAGAAUAAGCACCGGCUAACUCUGUGCCAGCAGCCGCGGUAAUACAGAGGGUGCAAGCGUUAAUCGGAAUUACUGGGCGUAAAGCGCGCGUAGGUGGUUUGUUAAGUUGGAUGUGAAAUCCCCGGGCUCAACCUGGGAACUGCAUUCAAAACUGACUGACUAGAGUAUGGUAGAGGGUGGUGGAAUUUCCUGUGUACGG
rnacentral:rRNA from 1 species